rnacentral:rRNA from 1 species
GACGAACCGUGCGAACGUUGUUCGGAUUCACUGGGCUUAAAGGGUGCGUAGGCGGCAGCGCAAGUCAGGUGUGAAAUCCCGGGGCUCAACCCCGGAACUGCACUUGAUACUGCGUUGCUUGAGUACUGGAGAGGAGACUGGAAUUUACGGUGUAGCAGUGAAAUGCGUAGAUAUCGUAAGGAAGACCAGUGGCGAAGGCGAGUCUCUGGACAGUUACUGACGCUGAGGCACGAAGGCCAGGGGAGCAAACGGG